AUACUUAACCUGGCAGGGGAGAUACCAUGAUCAUGAAGGUGGUUUUCCCAGGGCGAGGCUCACCCAUUGCAUUCCGGCUGUGCUGACCCCUGCGAUUUCCCCAAAUGUGGGAAACUCGACUGCAUAAUUUGUGGUAGUGGGGGACUGCGUUCGUGCUUUCCCCUG
ensembl:snRNA U1 U1 spliceosomal RNA